rnacentral:rRNA from 1 species
UGGGGAAUUUUGGACAAUGGGGGAAACCCUGAUCCAGCCAUCCCGCGUGUGCGAUGAAGGCCUUCGGGUUGUAAAGCACUUUUGGCAGGAAAGAAACGUCAUGGGCUAAUACCCCGUGAAACUGACGGUACCUGCAGAAUAAGCACCGGCUAACUACGUGCCAGCAGCCGCGGUAAUACGUAGGGUGCAAGCGUUAAUCGGAAUUACUGGGCGUAAAGCGUGCGCAGGCGGUUCGGAAAGAAAGAUGUGAAAUCCCAGAGCUUAACUUUGGAACUGCAUUUUUAACUACCGAGCUAGAGUGUGUCAGAGGGAGGUGGAAUUCCGCGUGUAGCAGUGAAAUGCGUAGAUAUGCGGAGGAACACCGAUGGCGAAGGCAGCCUCCUGGGAUAACACUGACGCUCAUGCACGAAAGCGUGGGGAGCAAACAG